GACGAACGCUGGCGGCGUGCUUAACACAUGCAAGUCGAACGGAAAGGCCCUGCUUUUGUGGGGUGCUCGAGUGGCGAACGGGUGAGUAACACGUGAGUAACCUGCCCUUGACUUUGGGAUAACUUCAGGAAACUGGGGCUAAUACCGGAUAGGAGCUCCUGCUGCAUGGUGGGGGUUGGAAAGUUUCGGCGGUUGGGGAUGGACUCGCGGCUUAUCAGCUUGUUGGUGGGGUAGUGGCUUACCAAGGCUUUGACGGGUAGCCGGCCUGAGAGGGUGACCGGCCACAUUGGGACUGAGGGACGGCCCAGUCUCCUACGGGGGGCAGCAGUGGGGAGUAUUGCACAAUGGGCGGAAGCCUGAUGCAGCAGCGCCGCGUGCGGGAUGACGGCCUUCGGGUUGUAAACCGCUUUCGCCUGUGACGAAGCGUGAGUGACGGUAAUGGGUAAAGAAGCACCGGCUAACUACGUG
rnacentral:rRNA from 1 species